CUCGACCCCAUUACACCCUUAACUUUAAACCUCCUUCGAGAGUGACAUUCCACCAUAACAACCCGGUAGCUAUUAUCUUCCGCCAAUAGAAGCCCUUCUCUUAUGGUUAGACCUUCAAAAUCCUCAACUAACGAUUCUCUACGUGUAGGCCGCCAUGGCUGGCUGCCCAACCUCAUCAAGAAUAACAAUAACAGUGCCUACAUUCUCCCUCUUUAGCUGACGCAUCAGCACACAAGUAGGAGUUGGCCUAUGGCCACCAGCGUAAAGGCUAGACACUGCCUCCCUUGGUGGUUCUCCAGGUCGAACCGUAUUGUGCCCUCCCUAAAUCGCCCAUAUCUACUAACCCAAUUUCUUAUCAUUGCCUCUAUCCACCUCAUUUACACCUCUCUCACAGUUACCUAAGGGCAUUAGUUGGUCACACCAAAUUUGGUGUAACUUCUACACCAAAUUUGAUGUAAUCUCUCCAACCGUUUCAUCAUAAUCUCAACCAUACAAAUUAGUAUUUUAACAUCAUCUUCUAUAAAAUAGCAUACUAUACCUUCAUUUUCUCUUACCUUAACUCUCUCCAAAUCUUCACUUCACAAGAAAUAGUUAAUCUUACCUUCAUUUUCUCCAAAAUCUCCUCCCAUGGGUUUAACUAAACGAAGUUCUUCAUACACAAACGAAGAAGACUUACACUUGUGUCAUGUAUAUCUUGAUAUUUCAACAAAUUCGAUUAAGGGUAUUGACCAAUCAAAAGAUCAAUUCUGGUCUCGAGUUGAUCAUCACUAUAACAACACGAAGCUAGACUCUAUCCGUCAACCUCGACCUAAAAGAUCCUUGCAGGCUCGAAUGCAAGUUAUUCUCACUGCAGUUGGGAAACUGAGGGGAUGUGUUCGGCAAGUUGAAAAUCUGAAUCCAAGCGGGGCUUCAGAACAAGAUAUUGUGAGUAUUAUAUGUAAUUUUUUAUUGUAACAUUAUAUUUCAAGAAUUUUAACAUUACAUAUACAUCAUUUUGCAGUUAUACCAAGCCAAAACAUUGUUAGCACAAGAUAAGAAUUACAAGAAGGGAUUCAAAUUUGAUCAUAUAUGGCCUAUUCUUAAAGAUAUUGAAAAAUUUCGACUCGAUGUUAACACAACAACAUCAAUCUUCCAAAUGCAAAGUGGUAACUUUGCAUCAUCACAAUCGAAGUCUCCCACUUCAAUAUCUCCGGGAUCGUCUUCAUUUGGUCUUAAUAUAAAUGAAGAAAAUGUAGUUGGUGCUUCAACUGAACGACCCAUUGAGGUGAAAAAAGCAAAAUUAGAAAGUAAAAAUGAUGAAGAAAAUCAAAAGGUUAUUGACACGAUUAAAGAUGAAAAUCGGCAACCUGCUGAAAUUUUCAAAAAGGAAAGCGAUGAUAGACAACAAAUUUUUGAAAUUCAAAUGCUAAGAGCUCAAAACGAGUCAAAAAAAUUGGCCUUAACAGAAUAUAGAGAAGAAAAUAAAAUUUUACUUAAGGAUUUGAAUUCCAUAUCGGAUCCAACUCUACGUAAGUUUUUUCAAAAUGAACAAACAAGAAUUUUGCAAAAAAGAGCUCACCAACAAGGUCAAGGAUCUCAAAGUACGUCUGGUUCUUCUGGUGAAUAUUUUGACGGUCUUGACUAAUAGAUUAGGAUUGACAGCAAGCUGGAUACGAAGGAAGGAGUUAUGCUUCUCUAAAAUCAGGCCACUACGCAUGUAUGUAUUUAAUGAUAUUUAAUGACUGGGGGAAGGGGGGGUCUGAUGAAGGGUGCACCUUCGGAGUUGGUGUAGAGAGGUGGUGGAAACAGCAUAAGAUCGCACGGGUUAGGCUCCCCAAUUCUUCUUGCUUUUCUAAUCUUCCUUCUAUGCUAUACUAUCUUAAUGUAAUCUUGAGUGGGCUUAUAGUCUAGCCUUUCAAGUUCUAUUAAGUGAAGUGGGAUCGUGCUAUUGUUAAUUUAUUCUUAAUUUCUAAUUGUCAAAUUUGUUA
rnacentral:lncRNA from 1 species